rnacentral:lncRNA from 1 species
UCCCCAUCAACUAAAAAAUGUGAUAUAUUUAAGUCUAGAAGGUUGGGGGUAGAGAUUUUGAAGGUAUUGAUUUCAUCAUGGUAUGUACAUCUAUCAAUAUGUAAAGAUUCCAAAUUGACACAACCCUUAAAUGGAUCAAAAGAGUUUACCCUUCCAACCACAAAUCGACAACAGCAGAGGUAUAGGUGUUUAAGAGAAGGAAUAUCGAAAUUUUUGGUCAGAGUGAGUAUGUAAGUAAGUUUCAGAGUAGUGAGAGAUGUGCAUACAGAGAGUUUAGGAAGUUUGCUCAGAGCACACUCAGCAAGGAUUGUAAGCACCUCAAUGUUAGUGGUGAUGGAUGGUGUAUCAAUAACAUGGUAAAUGAUGUAAUAUACCACAUGAUUAUCACGAUGGAUGGGUGCAUGGUCUUUGCGACACUUUAAAUUAAAGUUGAAAACAUUGGUGGAAGUAUCUCUGCACGACAAAAAAUUAAAUACAAAAUCCUCGAAAGACUCAGCAUCUUGGAAUGAUGCCUCAUCGAAGUUAAUAACGGGCAGGGAAACCCAAAGAUACCUAAACCGUUUGUUCAGAACUGAUGUUUGAACUGCAAUUUUUGCAUCCAAAAAAGAAAGGAUGUGUACAAUAAUUUGCUCAGGUAACUUAGUGAACAUAUCUUCUUCCUUCUCCUUAUCUUUCUCCUUAUUUUCUUUCUCUUCCUUUGAAGACUCUCUUCCGUAGAAAUUGUCUCGUUUCAUUUCUGUAAAGUUUUCUUCUCUUCAUAUUUGUUAGAAGUAAACAAAACAGCAUCGGUACAUUUCAAACAUUUAAAUACUGUUAUUCAUUCAGAAAAUGCUAACGAGAAAAAGUUUUCAGAUUCAGUACCUUUUGAGAGUAUAUCUGUUUUCCUUGCGCUGUGCUUCGUCGUUCCAGCGAGUGUCGUGAGAUUUUCCGGUGAGUGGGAGCGGUGGUGAGAAACCCUAGCAGAGCAUAAUAUUCUCCCUCUUCUCAAUUACCUAUAUUUAUAGUAUUAUGUUUCAUUUUUUUUUCAAGAACUAUUAUUAUUUUAAUUUUAUUUAUAUUUUCUUUAUUAUAUUUUAUCCUCUAAUUAUCUUAAUUUGUUAGGAUUCCGAUAUUCAAACAAUAUUGUAACAAAGAUGGUAAAUAUGAAAAGUUAUUAUUAUAAAUAAUUUCAAUAUAUAUAAUAAUAAAAAGGUGAAAAAGAGUUUGUGAGAGUAAUAAAGAUAAGGAAAAGAAAAUGAUAUUUUAUUACUAAUUUUUGAUAUUAUCUUGACGUUAGACACGUGUUGUGUCAAAAUGUGAAUGUGAUAAUAUAAAGGAAAAUAAAAUUUUAACACCAUUUUUUGACACCAUUUUGACACUGCACACGUGUUAAAAUGUGGUGGGAGGAUUUCAAAUUAAAAAACAAACUUUGGUUUUUCUCUUCCAAAUAUACCCUUGUCUCAACUUUUUUAAUUUGAAAUCGUCCAAUCACAUCUUGACAACAUCUUGACACGUAUACAGUGUCAAAAUAGUGUCAAAAAAUGGUGUUAAAAUAUGAUUGUCUUAAUAUAAAUUUGCAUGAGUUUAGUUUUGGAGUUGUGUAUGCACUCUAAUAUUUGCACGUGUUGUGUUUUGUUUGACUCUAAUAUCAUGGGAGCUGGUAAAACAGCUAUAGCAUAUAGCAUUGUAAGAGGAUAGUUACGGGUUUCAAGUCAUAGUAUUCACAUUUCUUAAAAAAAUUCUCAAUGUAUUUUUACGGGAAUAAUAAUAUAUUAUCUCAUCUUUUUAUGGUUCUAAUACUUAAAAUUACAUUAGUCUCAUUGGAUGUACCAAAAAUUUAUAUGCAAUCCAAAAACAAGCAUAUAAUGACAUAUUUUUUACUUUAAGAUUUUGAAUACACACUUUUAUCAAUAUCAAUCAGAGAAAUAUCACAUAACAAUAUAUGGUCAUAUUUUUUAAGUUAUUAUUUUGAAACUAGUUUCAAACCACAUAAAGAUUUUAAAAGUUUGCAUAUUUUAUUUUCUUAACUAGAUAUAACACAUCCUUGAGAUUGGAUUAUACAAAUUUCUUCCUCCAAUCACCAUUCGAAAAGCAAGUUUUAAACUCCAUAACAUAUAGAUAAGAGCUACUAAUCUUAAAUUAUAUUUUUCUAUAGAUCCAUUAAGGUGACAUUUUUUCAUAAAGAUACACUUUCCUCCAAUGAAUUUUGCUCCUUUAGAGAAAAAAUAAUUAAAGUUGGAGUAUUAAUUAUUUUUCUGAAAUGAAUUUAUUUCAUGAAUAAUGAUCUUAUUCCACUAUUUUGUGAUAGGAUAAUACUAAAAGCUUUUACAAAACUACUAGGAUAAUUAUAAGACAUUAUAUUAAUUUAAGGAGUUAUAUUUUAAGAUUGGAGUUCAAAAAUUAAUUUGGGUUAUUAUUCUUAAUUUAAUAGUUUAUAAUAAAAAAACCAAUAAUAAAAGAACAUUGAACUAGGUAAAGGAAAAAAGAUUUACCAUUUAAAACCUGAAUAUAUAUGAUAUAUCCCUAACAUCAAGACUACAAAGUAAGGAAUAGUCAGGGGGACUGCUAUUCUAUUCAUAAAGAAAAACAUGAAUUCUUUAUAAGACAGAGAAAAAAAACAUCUAAUUCGGUUUAACUUCUCCGCAAAAAGACAACUUCAACAAUAUUGGUUUUUCCAUUUUGCUCCUGUAACCAAAAUAAAUCAACAUGUAAUUCAGAAAAAGAAAUGUGUGUUUUUAAGUAUAAGAAAAUAAAAUCUUUUAGUAUAACUUACCUUCACGUUACCUUCACGUCCACGUAAAUUAAAUCAACAAGAUGUACCAAAUAAAUAUUCUUUUACGUCCUGAGGCAUGGCGGAGGAAGAAGAUGCAUUACAUAUUAACUCAAAAGUUUGCAUUCUGGUGAAAGGAGAAGAUGCAUCCACUAAUUCAUCAGAAAAUAUAGACAAAACCUACGAAAAGUAAAAGAAUUAUCACAUCAGACAACAUUGUAAUUAUGUUAAUGUGCUACAGUGAUAUUCUAAAUUAUCAUAAAUUAACAAAAAGUAAAAGACUUACUUCAAUGAUUUGGGAUGACAAAGAUAUAGUUUUUGCCCUUUUCAUGAUUUCAAAUAGCUCAAUCAAAGUAUAUAAGGAAUGGGUAUCUUCACUCAACCAACUUACAUGAAUAUAUAUUUUCUCCACAAAGAGAAGAUUGAUAUCAGUGGAAAAACAAUAUAAAUCAGAAUUAGUAUAUUUAAAACAUUGAAGCCUUGGGGUUUGAAGCUCAAAGACACAGUCAUCUAAACACAGCCCAUUCACUCCCAAAUGUGAUAUGUUUAAGUCUACAAGGUGGGGGUAGAGAUUUUGAAGGUCUUGAUUUCAAGAUAGUAUACACAGCUAUCAAAAUUUAAAGAUUCCAAAUUGACACAACCAUUAAAUGGAUCAAAAGGGUGUGGGAUAAAUUCACACUCAAAUUGACAAUGACAGAUAUAUAGGCGUUUAAGAGAAGGAAAAUCGAAAUUCGUGGUCCGACUGAAUAUGUGACAAAGUUUGAGAGUAGUGAGAGAUGAACAUACAGAGAGUUUAGGAAGUUCGCUCAGAACACACACGGCAAGAAUUGUAAGUGCCUCAAUGUUAGUGGUGAUAGAUGGUGUAUCAAUAACAUGCUCAAUGAUGGAAUCUACCACAUGACAAUUAUAAAUACCAAAGUGAGACUUUAAAC